UGAGAUGAGUGCAUCAAUUCA
rnacentral:piRNA from 1 species